GCUGGGUGUGGUGGCACAUGCCUAUAAUCCCAGAGGCACAGGAGGCUGAGGCAGGAGGAUCUUAAGUUUGAGGUCAGCUUCAUCAAUCUAGCAAGGCCCUAAGCAACUUAGCAAGACCCUGUCUCUA
rnacentral:sRNA from 1 species